UGGAUCUCAAAUCAGACAAGGCGACCCGCUGAACU
rnacentral:rRNA from 1 species